rnacentral:rRNA from 1 species
AUUGAACGCUGGCGGCAGGCCUAACACAUGCAAGUCGAGCGAGUGGCGGACGGGUGAUGCAUAUCUAGGAAACUGCCCGAUGGAGGGGGAUACCGGAUGGGAACGGUAGCUACUACCGCGUACCAUCGGAUCUGCCUCGAUGGGAUUAGCUAGUGGGUGGGGUAACGGCGCACCCAGGCGACGAUCCCUAGCUGGUCUGAGAGGAUGACCAGCCACACUGGAACUGAGACACGGUCCAGACUCCUACGGGAGGCAGCAGUGGGGAAUAUUGCACAAUGGGCGAAAGCCUGAUGCAGCCAUGCCGCGUGUGUGAAGAAGGCCUUCGGGUUGUAAAGUACUUUCAGCGAGGAGGCGUUACUCGCAGAAGAAGCACCGGCUAACUCCGUGCCAGCAGCCGCGGUAAUUC